UACGUAGGAGGCAAGCGUUGUCCGGAAUUACUGGGUGUAAAGCGCGUGUAGGCGGCAGACUAAGUCUGUGGUGAAAUCGCUCGGCUCAACUGGGCGGGGUCCAUGUAAACUAGUCAGCUGGAGGACGGUAGAGGUGAGUGGAAUUCCCGGUGUAGUGGUGAAAUGCGCAGAUAUCAGGAAGAACACCGGUGGCGAAGGCGCUCUGCUAGGCCGUAACUGACACUGAGGGACGAAAGCUAGGGGAGCGAAUGGG
rnacentral:rRNA from 1 species